rnacentral:misc_RNA from 1 species
AAUCAAUUUAUACAGUCUGGUGAUUACUCCAAAAAUUCACGAGCUUCAUGGUCAUAGAUACAGUGGUUAUAAUUUAGCAGAUUCACAAGCUUCAUUAUUGUUUUUAUUGCACAUAUUUAAUGGGAAAAUUUCUUUAUCAUGGGUAAUGACCAAAUAUUGUGUGGCGGCAAUGGCUGUUACCAAUACAGUAAUGGCGCCACUACACAUAGACAAAGCAUCUCUCUUUUGGCUGGCCAUUACCAGUAUAAUUCAUAAGUUAGUUUCAG